AUUGAACGCUGGCGGCAUGCCUUACACAUGCAAGUCGAACGGCAGCACGGGUGCUUGCACCUGGUGGCGAGUGGCGAACGGGUGAGUAAUACAUCGGAACAUGUCCUGUAGUGGGGGAUAGCCCGGCGAAAGCCGGAUUAAUACCGCAUACGAUCCACGGAUGAAAGCGGGGGACCUUCGGGCCUCGCGCUAUAGGGUUGGCCGAUGGCUGAUUAGCUAGUUGGUGGGGUAAAGGCCUACCAAGGCGACGAUCAGUAGCUGGUCUGAGAGGACGACCAGCCACACUGGGACUGAGACACGGCCCAGAGUCCUACGGGAGGCAGCAGUGGGGAAUUUUGGACAAUGGGCGAAAGCCUGAUCCAGCAAUGCCGCGUGUGUGAAGAAGGCCUUCGGGUUGUAAAGCACUUUUGUCCGGAAAGAAAUCCUUGACUCUAAUACAGUCGGGGGAUGACGGUACCGGAAGAAUAAGCACCGGCUAACUACGUG
rnacentral:rRNA from 1 species